rnacentral:rRNA from 1 species
GGGCCCGCACAAGCAGCGGAGCGUGUGGUUUAAUUCGAUGAUACGCGAAGAACCUCACCCAGGUUUGACAUGCAUGUGGUACCAAUGUGAAAGCUGCGGGACCCUUCGGGGAGCAUGCACAGGUGUUGCACGGCCGUCGUCAGCUCGUGCCGUGAGGUGUUGGGUUAAGUCCCGCAACGAGCGCAACCCCUGUCGCCAGUUGUAUUUUUCUGGCGAGACUGCCGAGAAAACCUCGGAGGAAGGAGGGGACGAUGUCAGGUCAGCGUGGCCCUUACGCCUGGGGCUACACACACGCUACAAUGGGUGGUACAACGGGCAGCCAAGCCGCGAGGCGGAGCUAAUCCCAUCAAAGCCAUCCUCAGUUCGGAUUGCAGGCUGAAACUCGCCUGCAUGAAGCCGGAGUUGCUAGUAACCGCAGGUCAGCACUACUGCGGUGAAUACGUUCCCGGGCCUU